CCCAAGCUAAAAGAUGUGGCAUCAGGAGUGUCCUGCAGACGAUCGGGAUGGGAUAUUGGAGUUGAGUUCCUCACUGAUUUUGUGGUGAUAAAGACCCAGGGUAUGGUAUACCUUCAGUGCUUCAUGCCAUGUCCUGGGCAUAUAAAGGAUGCUCGGUCAUUUGUUCAGCACCUCAACCACGUGAACCAUGGCUUAAGAAUCAGGAAAUAAGAGUCUGAAUCGCCAAAUUACAGACCCAAAGUCCACGCACCACAAUCAUCUAUUUCAUAAAAGAGGUAAGAUUGAUACUAUCUCAACUAUGGUGAGAAAGUCCACAUGAGAAAUCUUAUGUCUGAAAUGCAAAAAGGGAGCAGCUUUCCAAGUGAUUGGCAUUAUAUGGAUAUUAACGUUACUGCAUUAUUUUACACUUGGAAUAGGGACAGAUUUUUAAAAAGAGAAACUAAUCUAAAAUUACAAUGUCAGGA